rnacentral:ncRNA from 2 species
GUUUUCUUGUCGGGGUGCUUUUUGUUCGCUGUAUGCGGGCAACGAGGCUGAGAUAUACCCGCCGACCUGAUCCGGUUAGUACCGGCGUAGGGAACGAGAGCCUCCAGUUU